rnacentral:rRNA from 1 species
UACGUAGGGUGCAAGCGUUACUCGGAAUUACUGGGCGUAAAGCGUGCGCAGGCGGCUUUGCAAGACAGAUGUGAAAGCCCCGGGCUUAACCUGGGAAUGGCCAUGGAAACUGGCGAACUGGAGUGUGGCAGAGGGGGGUGGAAUUCCGCGUGUAGCAGUGAAAUGCGUAGAGAUGCGGAGGAACACCGAUGGCGAAGGCAGCCCCCUGGGCUAGCACUGACGCUCAGGCACGAAAGCGUGGGGAGCAAACAGG